rnacentral:rRNA from 1 species
CCUACGGGAGGCAGCAGUGAGGAAUAUUGGUCAAUGGCCGUAAGGCUGAACCAGCCAAGUAGCGUGAGGGAAGACUGCCCUAUGGGUUGUAAACCUCUUUUAUGCGGGGAUAAAGGUGUCCACGUGUGGAUGUUUGCAGGUACCGCAUGAAUACGGACCGGCUAAUUCCGUGCCAGCAGCCGCGGUAAUACGGAAGGUCCGGGCGUUAUCCGGAGUUAUUGGGUUUAAUGGGAGCGUAGGCCGGUCUUUAAGCGUGCCGUGAAAUUUGGUGGCUCAACCAUGAGAGUGCGGCGCGAACUGGAGGCCUUGAGUGCGCGGAAGGCAGGCGGAAUUCGUGGUGGAGCGGUGAAAUGCUUAGAUAUCACGAAGAACCCCGAUUGCGAAGGCGGCUUGCUGGGUCGAUACUGACAUUGAGGCACGAAAGCGUGGGGAGCAAACAGGAUUAGAUACCCUAGUAGUC